AACCCUAGUCUCAUUUCAAGAUCUUGAAGCUCAGCUCGUUUCAGUGAGAAGGAAAGAGAACAAUAUGGUGUAUUAGAUGCGUGUUGAUGCUUGUGGAUGUAUUUAGAUGAUAUGCGUGCUUCGGGGGGAGUUCUCAUGUUCACUACAACCUCUUCUAUGAUCCAUUUAAACAUGAGGGUCACUUUUGAUGGAGUUAUGUUUUAGUUAUAUAAAUGAUGCUGAGAGUAAAGCCCAAGAAACGAUUGAAUUAUGUUAGGAUAACUCGAGUAUUUGAUGUUUGAAUUUGUAACUCUAAGUGGAAUGUUAUUAUAUAAUUUUGAAAAUUUGAUAAA